rnacentral:rRNA from 1 species
UCGAACGAAGCUUGACGGAUGAUUUCUUCGGAAUGAAACCAGAUAUGACUUAGUGGCGGACGGGUGAGUAACACGUGAGCAACCUGCCUUUCAGAGGGGGAUAACGGCUGGAAACGGUCGCUAAUACCGCAUGAUGUGUUCGGAUGGCAUCAUCUGAACAUCAAAGAUUUAUCGCUGAAAGAUGGGCUCGCGUCUGAUUAGAUAGUUGGUGGGGUAACGGCCUACCAAGUCAACGAUCAGUAGCCGGACUGAGAGGUUGAACGGCCACAUUGGGACUGAGAUACGGCCCAGACUCCUACGGGAGGCAGCAGUGGGGAAUAUUGCACAAUGGGGGAAACCCUGAUGCAGCAACGCCGCGUGAAGGAUGACGGUUUUCGGAUUGUAAACUUCUUUUCUUAGUGACGAAGACAGUGACGGUCGCUAAGGAAUAAGCAUCGGCUAACUACGUGCCAGCAGCCGCGGUAAUACGUAGGAUGCAAGCGUUAUCCGGAUUUACUGGGUGUAAAGGGAGCGCAGGCGGGACUGCAAGUUGGAUGUGAAAUACCGUGGCUUAACCACGGAACUGCAUCCAAAACUGUAGUUCUUGAGUGAAGUAGAGGCAAGCGGAAUUCCGAGUGUAGCGGUGAAAUGCGUAGAUAUUCGGAGGAACACCAGUGGCGAAGGCGGCUUGCUGGGCUCUAACUGACGCUGAGGCUCGAAAGUGUGGGGAGCAAACAGGAUUAGAUACCCUGGUAGUCCACACUGUAAACGAUGAUAGCUAGGUGUGGGGGGUCUGACCCCUUCCGUGCCGGAGUUAACGCAAUAAGCUAUCCACCUGGGGAGUACGACCGCGAGGUUGCAACUCAAAGGAAUUGACGG